UACGUAGGGUCCGAGCGUUGUCCGGAAUUACUGGGCGUAAAGAGCUCGUAGGCGGUUUGUCGCGUUGUUCGUGAAAACUCACAACUCAAUUGUGGGCGUGCGGGCGAUACGGGCAGACUAGAGUACUGCAGGGGAGACUGGAAUUCCUGGUGUAGCGGUGGAAUGCGCAGAUAUCAGGAGGAACACCGGUGGCGAAGGCGGGUCUCUGGGCAGUAACUGACGCUGAGGAGCGAAAGCGUGGGGAGCGAACAGG
rnacentral:rRNA from 1 species